GAGCUUUGAAGAAAAAUUGGUUCAGCGAAGGUUGGGUCCAUCGCAUAAAUCUGAUUUCCCUGAUGAAAUUGCCAUUUACUGAGCUC
rfam:Brassica napus, WGS project CCCW01000000 data, contig: 9048